AGCAGCCGCGGUAAUUCCAGCUCCAAUAGCGUAUAUUAAAGUUGUUGCAGUUAAAAAGCUCGUAGUUGAAUUUCGGAGUUUGUCGGUUGGUCGGGCUUCACUGUUCGCACUGGCCUGAUGGAUUCCUACCUUCUGAAUAACCAGCAUGCUAUUAAUUUAGUGUGUUGGGGAAGCAGAGCUAUUACCUUGAAAAAAUUAGAGUGCUUAAAGCAGGCUUACGCUUGAAUAGAUUAGCAUGGAAUAAUAAAAUAGGACGGCAUGGUUCUAUUUUGUUGGUUUCUAGGAUCACCGUAAUGAUUAAUAGGGAUAGUUGGGGGCAUUAGUAUUCAAUUGUCAGAGGUGAAAUUCUUGGAUUUAUUGAAGACUAACUUCUGCGAAAGCAUUUGCCAAGGAUGUUUUCAUUAAUCAAGAACGAAAGUUAGGGGAUCGAAGACGAUCAGAUACCGUCGUAGUCUUAACCAUAAACUAUGCCGACUAGGGAUCGGACGAUGUUAAUUUUUUAAUGACUCGUUCGGCGCCUUACG
rnacentral:rRNA from 1 species